rnacentral:rRNA from 1 species
CCUACGGGAGGCAGCAGUAGGGAAUCUUCCGCAAUGGACGAAAGUCUGACGGAGCAACGCCGCGUGAGUGAUGAAGGUUUUCGGAUCGUAAAACUCUGUUGUCAGGGAAGAACAAGUGCGAGAGUAACUGCUCGCACCUUGACGGUACCUGACCAGAAAGCCACGGCUAACUACGUGCCAGCAGCCGCGGUAAUACGUAGGUGGCAAGCGUUGUCCGGAAUUAUUGGGCGUAAAGCGCUCGCAGGCGGUCUUUUAAGUCUGAUGUGAAAGCCCACGGCUUAACCGUGGAGGGUCAUUGGAAACUGGAGGACUUGAGUACAGAAGAGGAGAGUGGAAUUCCACGUGUAGCGGUGAAAUGCGUAGAGAUGUGGAGGAACACCAGUGGCGAAGGCGACUCUCUGGUCUGUAACUGACGCUGAGGAGCGAAAGCGUGGGGAGCGAACAGGAUUAGAUACCCUGGUAGUCCACGCCGUAAACGAUGAGUGCUAGGUGUUAGGGGGUUUCCGCCCCUUAGUGCUGAAGUUAACGCAUUAAGCACUCCGCCUGGGGAGUACGGCCGCGAGGCUGAAACUCAAAAGAAUUGACGGGGGCCCGCACAAGCGGUGGAGCAUGUGGUUUAAUUCGAAGCAACGCGAAGAAUCUUACCAGGUCUUGACAUCCUCUGACAAUCCUAGAGAUAGGACGUCCCCUUCGGGGACAGAGUGACAGGUGGUGCAUGGUUGUCGUCAGCUCGUGUCGUGAGAUGUUGGGUUAAGUCCCGCAACGAGCGCAACCCUUGAUCUUAGUUGCCAGCAUUCAGUUGGGCACUCUAAGGUGACUGCCGGUGACAAACCGGGAGGAUGGUGGGGAUGACGUCAAAUCAUCAUGCCCCUUAUUGACCUGGGGCUACACACGUUCUACAUGGAUGGACCAAAGGGAAGCGAAUCCGCGAGUCAAGCAAUCCCAUAAAACCAUUCUCAGUUCGGAUUGCAGGCUGCAACUCGCCUGCUUGAAGCCGGGAUCCGCUAGUAAUCGCCGGAUCAGC